rnacentral:rRNA from 1 species
UACAGAGGAUGCAAGCGUUAUCCGGAAUGAUUGGGCGUAAAGCGUCUGUAGGUGGCUUUUUAAGUCCGCCGUCAAAUCCCAGGGCUCAACUCUGGACAGGCGGUGGAAACUACCAAGCUGGAGUACGGUAGGGGCAGAGGGAAUUCCUGGUGUAGCGGUGAAAUGCGCAGAUAUCAGGAGGAACACCCGUGGCGAAAGCGGCUCUCUGGGACGGUACUGACGCUGAGACGCGAAAGCGUGGGGAGCAAACAGG